rnacentral:lncRNA from 1 species
GAAUUUCAACGCAGUUCGAAAGGUGGAUGGUUUUUUUUCCGACCGCGGCAGGUUGAAUUUGAGGGGACGAAAGGGGAGGGGCCAGGUGAUGUUUGAAGGGACAGGUUUGAAAGGUGCUAUGUGAAGGUGAAGUUGUGGGCUCUCCAGCCCUGCAGGGGACCCUCGCUCGCUCCCAUGAGGCUCUGCGUGAAGUGAGAGAAGGAGGCCAUGCACACCAGUGGCGACACGGCAAACGUGGGAGGCAGACGACUCGGCGUCGCUACACUCCACCUGUCGUAAGGACCCACUCUCCACACUCUCCUCCCUGACAUUUUCACCGGAGUAAAUAAAGCUCCUGGGAUUCUCCAGACAGGCGGUGGUGCUCGCAACACAACCAGCAAGAAGGAAUGAGAAGAAGAAAAAAAAAGAGAUAUAUUCCACCUGGUAGACAAGGCUACAUGCCAGAUGCAUCGUCGGGGCGAGUUGCUGAUGUCUGUCAGGCGCGUGUGAUGACUUGCAACUACUGUACACUGGUGUGUGCUCGUGACACUGCUCGUGCACAACAACAUUGUGGAAUACCAAUGGAAACGAGGGGAAACACAGCAAAAACAGCUUCGUGUCUAGGUAUGCUGCACUCGCUGGACUACUCUCACCCCCCGUGUGUCGUGACACCUGUCUCUGGCGUCUCCAGGUAGCUGCAGGAUUCUCCCCAGGUCUUCGUGCGUACAGACAGUUCCAGCCAGCGGGUUGCAGGGGUAGGAGGCAGCGGCCAUCUGGGUUCCGGCAGACUGAAGGCGGGAGGAGGAAUGAUGUUUUCCACCACGGUUUCUACACUAUGGCCAAGUAGAUAAGAUCACAUCAUGGCCAAGCAGCGUCUCUGUAAACUGGUGCCAAAGACAAAGAACAGCAUGCCCGCGACGAGAUCUGAACCCAGGACAGUACAUCAUCACUGUACCCAGCAGCUGGGAGGACAGGUGACAAAGAGGUGAUUUCCCUUGACAAAUACAACGGUGACUUAUUUGUUAUCUGUUUAUGGGUUUGGUCUUCAUGGAGCCGACACAACAUUGUCGAAGAAGUUACAGACGAUCUGAAUGGCAGAUCUUAACCCUCACAUAGUUACUUUCUCUAAAAUUGCGUUGUGCUUUAAAACCUUUCUAAACAUGAGUUUAUGGUCAGGUUUAUGAGGCCUAAACAGUGUUCUAAUUUUGAAAUAUGCCCCCUCCACCGGCUCAUUAUCUUUAGAGGUUUAUGCCAGCUGCACUAAUCCCCCCACCCCUUCCUACCAAGUCAUCCCUAGGUAAAAUAUUUUUUUCUAAUGACUAUCCAGUAUCAAUCAUCAUCUAUUGACAGCUUAUACCGAAUAUUACACACUACUCCUCAAGUGGCUAGAGGCAUUGUCUAGAAAUACUGAUAUACUGACAUUCCUCCUCCACUACCUCUACCCUUCACCCCCAUGAAGCCUUCCACCACAUUUACCCUGAUUUAAAUAAUAAUAAUAAUUAAAAAAUCACGCAACAUCACCACUGGCUGCAGUGGAGCCUUGCUCCUCGUAAAUAAAAUUAAAUAUGCAUUCCUUCUCCUUGGAACUUACAGCUCCGGCUGCGAAGAUCACGCAAUAGCAAUCUUGCAGAGCACUGGUUGCCACAAUAUGUAGUGUGAGGCUACAGAAAAUAAAGUCUGACUGCAAUAUGUAGUGUGGGGCUAUAGAAAUGUAGAUAUGUAGCAAGAGGUUUGUCUUUUAGGGACAGAAGUUUAAGAAGGAAAGAAGCUGGUGUCGGCAGGACACCAGAUGGACAGGACGGAAAUGGCAAGCCGAGACAGGUAUGGUAAGAAUGGGGUAUCCUGCCAUAAAUUACAGACUGGGUGAGUAGUGUUUAGUAUGUAGUCCACCUCACUGGUUUCUACAGCAGUGCCUACAAGAGUCCACGUUACGCAGGCACCGGGUAGUGCUGAUGUACACGGAGUAUAUCGUGAUGUAGCCGGGGCAUCGCACGUCCGCGGCAAGCGGGUAUGAAUGUACCCGUAAAGUCUGUGGGUCUCUCACAAACAAAGCAAGUCGCCCUUUAAGAAGGACUGAAGGCUGGGUCAAUGUAAGAAAAUGACAACCUCAAAACCUCCCUACAAACUCAGACCCUGGCACAUAUGCAGGUCCCGUUCAGUGUGGUUCCUACACCUCCAGUGACUUUGUUGUACGGGACCUCCAACCCACUGCAUUAACCCUACACCUGCUCGCUGCAGGCAAAAUAUUAUUGGGCCAGCAACUUCUACAAACUGCGUGGUCCACUGUGGCAUCUCAAGUGUUUCAUUUAAGACUGCCUGCCAGGUGACGGCGAGUAACGGCGAGCUCGAGAACCUGCACAGGGUCAUGUCAACGAUGGAGGGAU